rnacentral:rRNA from 1 species
UACGAAGGGGGCUAGCGUUGUUCGGAAUUACUGGGCGUAAAGCGUGUGUAGGCGGGUCUUUUAAGUCAGGGGUGAAAUGCCAAGGCUCAACCUUGGAACUGCCUUUGAUACUGGAGAUCUUGAGUCCGGGAGAGGUGAGUGGAACUGCGAGUGUAGAGGUGAAAUUCGUAGAUAUUCGCAAGAACACCAGUGGCGAAGGCGGCUCACUGGCCCGGAACUGACGCUGAGACGCGAAAGCGUGGGGAGCAAACAGG